rnacentral:rRNA from 1 species
GUAGUUGACUCCGUGGCUACGAGGACGAACGCUGGCGGCGUGCUUAACACAUGCAAGUCGAACGAUGAAGCCCCUUCGGGGGUGGAUUAGUGGCGAACGGGUGAGUAACACGUGGGCAAUCUGCCCUGCACUCUGGGACAAGCCCUGGAAACGGGGUCUAAUACCGGAUACGACACAGGGAGGCAUCUCCUCUGUGUGGAAAGCUCCGGCGGUGCAGGAUGAGCCCGCGGCCUAUCAGCUUGUUGGUGAGGUAACGGCUCACCAAGGCGACGACGGGUAGCCGGCCUGAGAGGGCGACCGGCCACACUGGGACUGAGACACGGCCCAGACUCCUACGGGAGGGCAGCAGUGGGGAAUAUUGCACAAUGGGCGCAAGCCUGAUGCAGCGACGCCGCGUGAGGGAUGACGGCCUUCGGGUUGUAAACCUCUUUCAGUAGGGAAGAAGCGCAAGUGACGGUACCUGCAGAAGAAGCGCCGGCUAACUACGUG